CCUACGGGAGGCAGCAGUGGGGAAUAUUGGACAAUGGGGGGAACCCUGAUCCAGCGACGCCGCGUGAGUGAAGAAGUAUUUCGGUAUGUAAAGCUCUAUCAGCAGGGAAGAAAGAAAUGACGGUACCUGACUAAGAAGCCCCGGCGAACUACGUGCCAGCAGCCGCGGUAAUACGUAGGGGGCAAGCGUUAUCCGGAUUUACUGGGUGUAAAGGGAGCGUAGACGGCGAUGCAAGUCUGAAGUGAAAGGCGGGGGCCCAACCCCCGGACUGCUUUGGAAACUGUAUGGCUGGAGUGCAGGAGAGGUAAGUGGAAUUCCUAGUGUAGCGGUGAAAUGCGUAGAGAUUAGGAGGAACACCAGUGGCGAAGGCGGCUUACUGGACUGUAACUGACGUUGAGGCUCGAAAGCGUGGGGAGCAAACAGGAUUAGAUACCCUAGUAGUC
rnacentral:rRNA from 1 species